rnacentral:rRNA from 1 species
UCGGGUUGUAAAGCACUUUUGUCCGGAAAGAAAUCCUUGGCCCUAAUACGGUCGGGGGAUGACGGUACCGGAAGAAUAAGCACCGGCUAACUACGUGCCAGCAGCGCGGUAAUCGUAGGGUGCGAGCGUUAAUCGGAAUUACUGGGCGUAAAGCGUGCGCAGGCGGUUUGCUAAGACCGAUGUGAAAUCCCCGGGCUCAACCUGGGAACUGCAUUGGUGACUGGCAGGCUAGAGUAUGGCAGAGGGGGGUAGAAUUCCACGUGUAGCAGUGAAAUGCGUAGAGAUGUGGAGGAAUACCGAUGGCGAAGGCAGCCCCCUGGGCCAAUACUGACGCUCAUGCACGAAAGCGUGGGGAGCAAACAGGAUUAGAUACCCUGGUAGUCCACGCCCUAAACGAUGUCAACUAGUUGUUGGGGAUUCAUUUCCUUAGUAACGUAGCUAACGCGUGAAGUUGACCGCCUGGGGAGUACGGUCGCAAGAUUAAAACUCAAAGGAAUUGACGGGGACCCGCACAAGCGGUGGAUGAAUGUGGAUUAAUUCGAUGCAACGCGAAAAACCUUACCUACCCUUGACAUGGUCGGAAUCCCGCUG